rnacentral:rRNA from 1 species
UUCCAGCUCCAAUAGCGUAUAUUAAAGUUGUUGUGGUUAAAAAGCUCGUAGUUGAACCUUGGGCCUGGCUGGCCGGUCCGCCUCACCGCGUGCACUGGUCCGGCCGGGCCUUUCCCUCUGCGGAACCCCAUGCCCUUCACUGGGUGUGGCGGGGAAACAGGACUUUUACUUUGAAAAAAUUAGAGUGCUCAAGGCAGGCCUAUGCUCGAAUACAUUAGCAUGGAAUAAUAGAAUAGGACGUGUGGUUCUAUUUUGUUGGUUUCUAGGACCGCCGUAAUGAUUAAUAGGGACAGUCGGGGGCAUCAGUAUUCAAUUGUCAGAGGUGAAAUUCUUGGAUUUAUUGAAGACUAACUACUGCGAAAGCAUUUGCCAAGGAUGUUUUCAUUAAUCAGGAACGAAAGUUAGGGGAUCGAAGACGAUCAGAUACCGUCG